UAGUCCACGCCGUAAACGAUGGGCACUAGGAGGGGGUCCUUCUCCGGGAUCCCUUUCGGAGCAAAUGUCUUAAGUGCCCCGCCUGGGGAGUACGCGCGCAAGCGUGAAACUCAAAGGAAUUGACGGGGGCUCACACAAGCGGUGGAGCAUGUGGUUUAAUUCGAAGCAACGCGCAGAACCUUACCCGGGCUUGACAUGCGCGAAAGCGUCGGGAAGUAGGUGCCCGAAAGGGUUACCCAACGGUAUCCAGUCCGGAACCCGAUACAGGUGUUGCAUGGCUGUCGUCAGCUCGUGUCGUGGGAUGUCGGGGUUAAGUCCCAUAACGAGCGAAACCCCUAUUGUCAGUUGCCAGCGCGUAAUGGCGGGGACUCUGGCAAGACUGCCUCGAAAGACGGAGGAAGUGGGAUGACGUCAAGUCAUCAUGGCCCUUACGCCCGGGGCUACACACGUGCUACAAUGGCGCCGACAGAGGGCAGCGAUGUCGCGAGACGGAGCGAAUCCCACAAACGGCGUCCCAGUUCGGAUAGC
rnacentral:rRNA from 1 species